rnacentral:lncRNA from 1 species
AACUAAUAACCUACCAUGUUUCUUUUCUCUCUUUUUUUCUUUGUCGUUCAGCCUUUAACAUUCCACAUUCUGCAUUGUACAUGGUGAAUCACUACUGUUUUGCACCAGUGUGCCCACUUGUGUGCCUAUAAAGUACAAGCUCCAGAUUGAAAAAGCUUCUAGAUGGAUCCUUUCCAUGUUUGGUGUUUUUUCUACAAACUCUGUGCCUCAGCAACCCUUUCUAAGUGAGCUGAAGCCAUUUAUUUAAUCUUGGAUGAUUAACACCUAAAUGCUUAAUUCUCAAAACUGCUCAAGAGUCCCACAGCCAGGAUUAGAUGAUCCAGCUUACCACCAAGAAAUUAUUGUCUUGAAUUCCACGAAACACAAGGAUUCUUUAUAGACAGAUGGUGAUCAAGAUGGGGAUCAGUCCGCCUUUGAGAAUUGUUUUUCCAAACGCCGUAUCAGCAAAGUAAACAUUCUAUCGUUGAUUUAUUCAAACUGUUAAGUAAUAAUAUAAAAUAAUUUUAGAUAUUAUAGAUGUAAAUUAUUGGCACAUUAACUGAAUUUUAAAGUCUACUUUUAUUUAAACUUUUGAUGCUUCCCACAUGGUGCUAGUGGUAAAGAAUCUGCCUGCCAGUGCAGGAGAUGCAAGAAACAUGGAUUCAGUCCCUAGGUCA